UACGGAGGGGGCUAGCGUUGUUCGGAAUUACUGGGCGUAAAGCGCACGUAGGCGGCUUUGUAAGUUAGAGGUGAAAGCCCGGGGCUCAACUCCGGAAUUGCCUUUAAGACUGCAUCGCUAGAAUUGUGGAGAGGUAAGUGGAAUUCCGAGUGUAGAGGUGAAAUUCGUAGAUAUUCGGAAGAACACCAGUGGCGAAGGCGACUUACUGG
rnacentral:rRNA from 1 species